GAGGUGGUGGUUGGUGAGGGGAGGAGGCGGGGCCCAGACCGUGCGGCGUCGUCAAGGCGACGCGGCCUAGUCGGCCUGGCGGAGGCCCGGCGCUCGACGGAAUGGUGCGAACUGUUAUGGGAUAGCCAUCAGCAGCAAGAAUCCUGGUGGAACAGGGGUGCUGUGUCGGAUUGUGUUGGCCUGCUAGGCCGAUGCCCUGACUGAGAUUAGUUUCCUAAAGUCCGCAGCACACAGUUUCAGGGUGGUGACCCACUGUUUCUCAAGGGCGACUUGCUUGAAGAAUGCCCUUUCUCCUCCCGGAGACAUGGACUCGCUGGAAGCUCAGCUGGAGCUGCUUCUGAAGGGAGAGGGCAUCGAGGUGCAGGGCUACGACUCUCCCCUAGAAGACGUGGUGCCGGUAACUGUGCGGAAGACCGUCUGCUACAUCGUCGCUGCAGUCAUCCUGAACGAGCAGGUAAGAGGGGACCUCCUCACUGACCCGCA